AUUGAACGCUGGCGGCAGGCCUAACGCAUGCAAGUCGAGCGAGCGGCGGACGGGUGAGAAAUGUAUGGGGACUGCCCGAUAGAGGGGGAGAACUACUGGAAACGGUAGCUCAUACCGCAUACUAUCGGAUAACCCAUAUGGGAGUAGAUCGUAGGGGAGGCAAUGGGUCACCUAGGCGACGAUACCUAGAUGGUGUGAGAGGAUGAUCAGCCAAACUGGGACUGAGACACGGCCCAGAAUCCUACGGAGGCAGCAGUGGGGAAUAUUGCACAAUGGGCGCAAGCCUGAUGCAGCCAUGCCGCGUGUAUGAAGAAGGCCCUAGGGUUGUAAAGUACUUUCAGUCGGGAGGCGUUACCGACAGAAGAAGCACCGGCUAACUCCGUGCCAGCCGCCGCGGUAAUAC
rnacentral:rRNA from 1 species